UACGUAGGGUGCAAGCGUUAAUCGGAAUUACUGGGCGUAAAGCGUGCGCAGGCGGUUGUGUAAGACAGGUGUGAAAUCCCCGGGCUUAACCUGGGAACUGCACUUGUGACUGCACGGCUGGAGUGCGGCAGAGGGGGAUGGAAUUCCGCGUGUAGCAGUGAAAUGCGUAGAGAUCCGGAAGAACACCGGUGGCGAAGGCGGCAUCCUGGACCGACACUAACGCUGAGGCGCGAAAGCCAGGGGAGCAAACGGG
rnacentral:rRNA from 1 species